UUAGGCGAACGGGUGAGUAACGCGUAAUCAACCUGCCCUUCAGAGGGGGACGAAAGUUGGAAACGACUGCUAAUACCGCAUAAGCCCACGGGUCGGCAUCGACCUGAGGGAAAAGGAGCAAUCCGCUUUGAGAUGGCCUCGCGUCCGAUUAGCUAGUUGGUGAGGUAACGGCCCACCAAGGCGACGAUCGGUAGCCGGACUGAGAGGUUGAACGGCCACAUUGGGACUGAGACACGGCCCAG
rnacentral:rRNA from 1 species